GGGCCGUUAGCUCAACCGGUAGAGCAGCGGACUCUUAAUCCGCGGGUUGGGGGUUCGAGUCCUCCACGGCCCA
rnacentral:tRNA from 2 species